UCCAAGACAUUUGAUGGGAAUGAUUAUUGUUUUUCAGGAAAAUGGAUGCUAUCCACACUUUUUCCAGAGAAUGAGAACUAGAUAAUUUGCUUAAAUGCAUUGAAAGUGGUGUUUUUGUGCAUUUGCAAGACAGUGAAGGCAGGACCCCGAUGCAUUGGGCUGUAGAUCGUGGCCAUCUUAAAAUUACCGAAGCACUUCUUAGCAGGAAUGCUGAUGUGAAUGCUAAGGACAAUGAAGGUCAAACCCCAUUGCACUAUGUUGUUAUGUGUGAGAGGGAAGACAUUGCCAAAUUUCUUGUAAAACAAAAUGC